rnacentral:rRNA from 1 species
AACGCGAAGAACCUUACCUGGGUUUGACAUGCACUAGACAGCCUCAGAGAUGGGGUUUCCCUUGUGGUUGGUGUACAGGUGGUGCAUGGCUGUCGCCAGCUCGUGUCGUGAGAUGUUGGGUUAAGUCCCGCAACGAGCGCAACCCUUGCCCCAUGUUGCCAGCGGGUUAUGCCGGGGACUCGUGGGGGACUGCCGGGGUCAACUCGGAGGAAGGUGGGGAUGACGUCAAGUCAUCAUGCCCCUUAUGCCCAGGGCUUCACACAUGCUACAAUGGCUGGUACAGAGGGCUGCGAGAUCGUGAGGUUGAGCGAAUCCCUUAAAGCCGGUCUCAGUUCGGAUCGGGGUCUGCAACUCGACCCCGUGAAGUCGGAGUCGCUAGUAAUCGCAGAUCAGCAUUGCUGCGGUGAAUACGUUCCCGGGCCUUGUACACACCG